AGGUAAUGAUUAUGAACAUGACCAGACUCCGGGCGCUGCCCUCCGGAUGGAGUCACUUGGUCCAGCAGACGUACAGCAAAGUAAAGCGCCACGGCGUGGUGAGCAACUUCAAUGACAUAAUCAAUUAUCUUCUGGCCAAGAAACUCGAGCUGUACUACAAUUUAAACUGCGCGUGGAACUACAACACUGAAACGUGCGUGAACGAACUCAACAGCUGCAUGGACGCGGAGGAGACGGGAAUAUAUCUCCUCAGCGACAUACACUCUCGACAUGGCGACAAAUAUAAGAAAUUCCAAGAGGUUUUCGAAGCCUGGCUACGCCACGAGGUUGGAUCAGGACUAUCAGAUCUCGUCCAAAACAUCAGAAGGCGAAUUCGAAACGACGAACCGUCUCAGUUCUGGUGCAACGAAUUAAGUACCAUGGAGUACAUGCUCACAAGAUCGCUGGCAGCUCUGGCCGACUAGUGAAAUGGAGAGAUGCCUGUUUAUCUUAUACUUACCGAAUUAACGAAACCUCAUUGUUGCAUCUAUCUGUAUGAAUUCUUAGUCCUUUCAUUGUUUGCUUCCAAAUGGUUCGCGCAUUUCAGUCUAUAUUGAUUCAUGUGUGUGUGUGUGUGUGUGUAAAUCUAUAGCAUAACUUGCGGUUAGGUACUUCGUUUUUGUUGCUUGUCUCCCACAAGAAUGAAUUGUUGCAAACUAUUGCAAUUCGGUUGCAGAAGAAGAAAAUGUUGCAGUCCGGUAAAUCUCGUCCUCUCACCAAGCCCAAAGGCUCAGAUGUUUUCAGUUGUUUUUCUUCAAACGAAUCAGCUGAUAAUGAAUAAGUUUCAGGACAAAAAGAACACCUUUCUGGUAGUACAACUCAGGAAUACAGACAGCGGGAAAUCUCAAAUCUACACAGUUCAGUAUAUUACUCUCAGUAGCUCAGUCCUACAGGACUAAAACAUAAGAUUUAGGCCAAGAGCUCGGACCUACGAUGGGUCAUCCAACUCUGAAAGGGAAAUCGAAAGUCAAAAUGCUUGAAAGGUGUAAAGGGAGGAAAACCUCUCAUCAGUUGCACAGAGGUACAGUAAAAGGAAUGAAAUGGGUUGCAGGUAGCAACUGCUGAUGUAAUUUCGAAAAACGUCAUGUGCUGUCCGUAGAUCACUUUUGUUUCUCAUAAUUAACUCUGACUGAUCCACAAUGAGCAAACCUAUCCUCCGCAAAUAUAUAUUAAUCCAUCGUCAAGGAAAUUAUUUCUUAUAAGUUUUAUUAGGUUUGGCGCAAUGGCAAAUGCAGGUAUUUCUCUAUUAUAAUCUACUGAAUUAACAAAUACAAAAUUAUUAUAUCACUGCCUAAAAAUUUCCUUAAACUGGUAUUUUCUUUUGUCCUGAGUCAUUAACCAUGGCUACUACAAGAUGUCCAAUUUUCUUAAUCUGUAUAAUCAAUUUAAAACAGAUCUUUUUCCAAUCGUGUCAAAAUUAAAACAUAUAAUUUGUCUCUAGGAUGUCGUAAGUCCUCUGACCAUCAUACACUGCACUUGGGAUAUAGGAUCAUAAAAUGUGUCGGUGCUACUUUGGCUUGUUAUCUACAUGUCACCUACUGCGAGGUGCUAGUCAGGGUUGCCGUUUUGAGGAAUUUCGUCUAUUAGUGGUUUUCUGGUGACAUCUGGCAACCCUCCGUGGCUUUUCCGACCACAGGCCACGGCACUGAAGAAAAAAAAUCUUCACUUUGUCUUUUUUAUGUUUUAUUAUGAAAAUGAAGAUAUAAAACUUAUCCUGCUUAUUUAUACAAAUCAAUUUCAUUGAAAUCCUUUAUUUUUCUUCGUCAAAAAUACUUUAUAUUAAGCUAGUGACUUGUAGUUUUCUAACGUCACGAAAAAUAAUUCUGCAUCGGAAAAUACGCAUUCUAACUAUCAAAUAAUAAGUAAAGUAAAAAAAUCAGAUGCGCUGCAUAUGAUAACACUGCUAAAAGCCAAUAUUGUGAAGAAAAAACGGCAUCACUGGUGCUAGUAUACUAAACAUGGCGGAAGCUCCGGGGAUCAAAGUAUCAUACACACCCGUUUCUAUAAUGUGGUCGACAAAUCAUAGCACUAGCACCUCGGAGUAUAUGACGCGUAGAUAACGAGCCAAAGUAACACCAACGUGUCGGUGCCUUUAUCGUAACUCCAAAUUUGUGCUACACUGCACUCGUCAACGGAAAUUACACACAGACACUCAUGUUCCGCCAUUGACUCUGAUGAGUUGAUUACCGAUUCCAGAAUACCAGGUUCUACGCUAUCAUACUUUAGCAGCAAUAAAAAGUUU